rnacentral:rRNA from 1 species
ACACACGUGCUACAAUGGGCAGUACAGAGGGCAGCGAAGUCGCGAGGCCAAGCAAAUCCCUUAAAACUGUUCGUAGUCCGGAUUGGAGUCUGCAACUCGACUCCAUGAAGUCGGAAUCGCUAGUAAUCGCGAAUCAGAAUGUCGCGGUGAAUACGUUCCCGGGCCUUGUACACACCGCCCGUCACACCAUGGGAGUGGAUUGCACCAGAAGUAGUUAGUCUAACCUUCGGGAGGACGAUUACCACGGUGUGGUUCAUGACUGGGGUGAAGUCGUAACAAGGUAGCCGUAGGGGAACCUGCGGCUGGAUCACCUCCUUAACGACGAAGAC